rnacentral:rRNA from 1 species
CGAAGGGGCUAGCGUUGUUCGGAAUUACUGGGGCGUAAAGGGCGCGUAGGCGGUGUGUCAAGUCAGGCGUGAAAGCCCCGGGCUCAACCUGGGAACAGCGCUUGAGACUGGCACGCUCGAGUUCGGGAGAGGAUGGUGGAAUUCCCAGUGUAGAGGUGAAAUUCGUAGAUAUUGGGAAGAACACCGAUGGCGAAGGCAGCCAUCUGGACCGACACUGACGCUGAGGCGCGAAAGCGUGGGGGAGCAAACAGGAUU